CGAGACUGGCCGAAGCGAUCAGUCGCGGUCGCCAUUUUCUCGGGUAGUCAUCGGGUACGUCGUGUUUCUUUCGGGUCGCUGUGUUUUUUGGGGCAAGCACCGCCGAAAAAUUUGGGGUACGGCAUACUCGUACGCUCCCCCAAAUGGCUUGUCUGAACACCCUUAAACAGGAGAUCAAAACUCUUGAGUCCGUCUUCCCUAAGAGCCAUGAGAGAUUUCAGAUAAUGUCUGCGAGUGUGGACGAACUCAGCUGCAGGUUCGUCGGUAAAAAUGGGAAGAAAUACGAAAUACACGCCAAUAUUACAGAAACCUACCCGUCUACACCACCAGUCUGGUUUGCAGAAUCUGAGGAGACUAGUGUCACAAAUGCGGUACAAAUUUUAAGUAAUACAACCGGCCGUGACAACCACGUCAUUAAUCAAGUCGGGAUUCUCUUGAAAGAAUUAUGUAGACUUCAUUCAUUACCGGAACCACCUGAUGUUGAACGAUUAAGAACAGCUUUGGAUCCAUUGCGUUUGGGAGGAACAAAUGAAACGGUUGCGCAAAGGAUGGAAGCUGACGAUGUCGAAGACAUUGAUGAAGAUGAAGAAAGUGAGACUGAAGAAGACCUUCAUUUAGAUAUGGAUGAGGGAGAUGCAAAUGCCAAGAGUAAGGGUGAAGAGAUGGAUCUGGAACAUUUGGCGACAUUAGAAAGGUUGAGACAAAAUCAAAGACAAGACUACUUAAAAGGUUCACCUUGCGGAAGCGUACAGGCCACAGACAGACUCAUGAAAGAGUUACGUGACAUUUACAGAAGCGACAGUUUCAAGAAAGGAAUGUACAGCAUAGAAUUAGUAAAUGACAGUUUGUAUGAAUGGAAUAUCAGGCUGAUGUGUGUUGAUCCUGAUUCACCAUUACACAGUGAUCUCAUACUACUAAAAGAAAAAGAAGGCAAAGAUAGUAUUCUCCUCAACAUGCUUUUCAAGGAAACUUAUCCAUUCGAGCCCCCAUUUGUCAGAGUUGUUCAUCCCAUGAUUUCUGGUGGAUAUGUCCUUAUAGGAGGCGCUAUUUGCAUGGAACUUCUAACAAAACAAGGUUGGAGUUCAGCGUAUACAGUAGAAGCCGUCAUCAUGCAAAUUUCGGCAACAUUGGUAAAGGGGAAAGCACGUAUACAGUUUCAAGGAUCUGGAGGUGCUGGCAAAGUAUGCGGUGGUCAAGGCCAGUACAGUCUAGCUCGUGCACAACAAUCAUUCAAGUCUCUUGUACAAAUACACGAAAAAAAUGGUUGGUUUACCCCUCCAAAAGAGGAUGGCUAAUGAACAGGAAUCACGAAAAAAGAAAAGUUUGACGCGUGCUUACAGCUGAGACUUUAAUUCGGUGUGUGCCCAACAAAUAAUUGUUACGAUAAUGAUUUAAUACACAAAAACACAACAUUAACUAGAAUAUGAAGAAAUAGAAACCGAAGUUCGAUCGUGAAUAUCGAGGUCAAGGAGCGAAGAACAUUGGCAACCAAGCGUACGAGGAUGAAUCGAUACAUAUGUUAUAUCGGCGGUAACGUCUGUACGAUGCAUCCGUAAUUCUAAUUAUCGAAACGAAUCGAGCGGAGCAGCAUGGGUCUAUAGUUUUUGUUCGCGGCGUAAUUACAAAAAAGGAAACAACAAAAUGAGAACGCGAGAAAAUCGUUUCUUUCUCUUUUCUCUUGGCGACAUUCGCGCGAGCAUCGUCAUCGUGUAACAAACGACGACGAGAAACAAUUGUCUAGAUUCUUAUAAGCGUAGGUGUACAAUCAACGAGAACUCACUGUCAGCGGACAUCGAUGAUUUGUACAGCCCCGUCCGACUGACACUGACGAAGUGCCGGUUGUUCGACGUCGUCGAUCGUUAUAUGUUCUUUGUCAAGCCGCGCGCAACCGAUGAAAAAAGAAGAGAAGAAAAGAUCGGAGAAGCUUUCGUUAUAUCUCUCGUGUACACGGUUAAGUUUGUUGUCAUCUUUCCUUUUUUCUUCGAAGAACUCGCGAAGCGACUAAUAUUGUAAGCAGCCGUGUGGCCUGUAUAUUUUUGCUACAAAUAUCGUUAGUAGUCGACCCGUUUUACAAAAUGAAAAACGUUCGAACGUUCCCCUAUGUUUCUCACUUUCUUCUCUCUCCGUCGGAUUUGUUUUUUUCUUCUUCUUCUUUCGUUUCCGUUCUCCAUUCGAUUUCAAUUCGACGCACUGAAUGAGAAGCCGAGGACAGGCAAACAAAGCGAAUGCGAAACACGUAUUUCUCAGCUGUUGAACGAAAGGAUGAUAUACAUACGUAGAUGCAAAAGUAACGGGAAUUUCUCGCGUGGAAAUUCGAACGAACGAUCGAGUAUUUUUUAUCCAAUGCUAUGUCGACAAUUCAAUAAAGAACAUUCAACCAAA